rnacentral:lncRNA from 1 species
UUCUGUCUGCUUUCUCAACAGAUGCAUCUAGAAGAAGUUGGGUCAUCUCUGCAGAAGUCUUGGCUGGCUGAAGUCCCUUAAUCUGGUUACUUGGCCCAAGGGACAUGUAGUUACUUUAGAGCUGCUUCUGUCUUUUUCCACCUCCCGUGUGUGCUCAGCCAAGUUUCCAGCGCCUUCUUGAGGCCCCUGCAAACUCUUUAGUGCCUGCUGCUGCUGUCCCAUUUUGUCCUCACAUCGCUAUGUUAACUGCCUCAGGGCAAUCAGGCUAUUGACCUCCAUGUGACUCCAUCUUCUUGUACAAGCUAUUUCUCAAAUCUUCACACAA